rnacentral:rRNA from 1 species
UUAUGGCUCAGGACGAACGCUGGCGGCGUGCCUAACACAUGCAAGUCGAGCGAGCUUGCCUAGAUGAUUUUAGUGCUUGCACUAAAUGAAACUAGAUACAAGCGAGCGGCGGACGGGUGAGUAACACGUGGGUAACCUGCCCAAGAGACUGGGAUAACACCUGGAAACAGAUGCUAAUACCGGAUAACAACACUAGACGCAUGUCUAGAGUUUGAAAGAUGGUUCUGCUAUCACUCUUGGAUGGACCUGCGGUGCAUUAGCUAGUUGGUAAGGUAACGGCUUACCAAGGCAAUGAUGCAUAGCCGAGUUGAGAGACUGAUCGGCCACAUUGGGACUGAGACACGGCCCAAACUCCUACGGGAGGCAGCAGUAGGGAAUCUUCCACAAUGGACGAAAGUCUGAUGGAGCAACGCCGCGUGAGUGAAGAAGGGUUUCGGCUCGUAAAGCUCUGUUGGUAGUGAAGAAAGAUAGAGGUAGUAACUGGCCUUUAUUUGACGGUAAUUACUUAGAAAGUCACGGCUAACUACGUGCCAGCAGCCGCGGUAAUACGUAGGUGGCAAGCGUUGUCCGGAUUUAUUGGGCGUAAAGCGAGUGCAGGCGGUUCAAUAAGUCUGAUGUGAAAGCCUUCGGCUCAACCGGAGAAUUGCAUCAGAAACUGUUGAACUUGAGUGCAGAAGAGGAGAGUGGAACUCCAUGUGUAGCGGUGGAAUGCGUAGAUAUAUGGAAGAACACCAGUGGCGAAGGCGGCUCUCUGGUCUGCAACUGACGCUGAGGCUCGAAAGCAUGGGUAGCGAACAGGAUUAGAUACCCUGGUAGUCCAUGCCGUAAACGAUGAGUGCUAAGUGUUGGGAGGUUUCCGCCUCUCAGUGCUGCAGCUAACGCAUUAAGCACUCCGCCUGGGGAGUACGACCGCAAGGUUGCAACUCAAAUGAAUUGACGGA